UGAUGUUAUAUAUGUUGACAGCAGCAAGAUUAUUUUAUGCACAAAAAUGGAAGGACACUUUGAUUCCUACAAUGGACGGAUGGCUGCAAAAACUAAAGAAAUGGC